rnacentral:rRNA from 1 species
CGUGCUUAACACAUGCAAAGUCGAAACGAUGAAAGCUCAGCUUGCUGGGGUGGAUUAGUGGCGAAACGGGGUGAGUAAACACGUGAGUAAACCCUGCCCCUUCACUCUGGGAUAAGCCCUUGGAAACGGGGUCUAAUACUGGAUAUGACAUGCUGCCGCAUGGUGGUGUGUGGAAAGUUUUUCGGUGAGGGAUGGGCUCGCGGCCUAUCAGCUUGUUGGUGAGGUAGUGGCUUACCAAGGCGACGACGGGUAGCCGGCCUGAGAGGGUGACCGGCCACACUGGGACUGAGACACGGCCCAGACUCCUACGGGAGGCAGCAGUGGGGAAUAUUGCACAAUGGGCGAAAGCCUGAUGCAGCGACGCCGCGUGAGGGAUGACGGCCUUCGGGUUGUAAACCUCUUUCAUCAGGGAAGAAGCGUGAGUGACGGUACCUGAAGAAGAAGCACCGGCUAACUACGUGC